rnacentral:lncRNA from 1 species
CUAGGCUUACUAUGCAUCAGUUACACGUUACAAUACAAACCUCCCUGCCUUCUUCAAGUUUCACAAGAUAAAACCUCACUUUUCACCUUCAGUUUUUCAUAUGAUAUCCAUAAAUAAACAUCCUUAUUCCUCCUUUAAAACUCAAAUCUCAAGAAUCUGAUGAAAUUCAUUCAAGAAAACAAGAAUAAUCCCUUCUCCAGAUCUCAACAUCUUCAAACGUUUUGAGGUAUGUAGAACCAUCUUUUACUCACGUUUCAUGAUGUUUUCUUAUUCUCCAAAUCUGUUUUGUAAUCUCCAUUCCAAACAGAUGGUGUAUAGAUGUUUGAAUUCAGAAGUUAGAUUAAAAACAAAUCAACCUGUCAAGUUCUAUUUCAAUUUCCUCUUGGCGUCUUAACAAGUGCUUAUGUAUUCAUAACGUAUGGACUGGUUUUGGCUAAAUCUGGAACCUGAAUCUUAUCCAGUCAGUAACAUGGUGGUCUCAAUAAUCUUCAAUAAGUAUUUUCUAUUUCUAAAUUUCUUAAAAGAUGUUAGGAUUAAUUAAUAUAAAGAACGUCCCUUUUAUCUCUAAAAUUGAUGUCCGAUCCAGUUCGACUUUAUGUUGGCAUAUGCUGAAAUUCUUCAAAUUUAACAAGUAGGAAGGACUGCCAUUUCUUUGGAAUUCUUGAACUUCCGAAAUAAACAAUUUAUUACCACAAACUUCAUAACCUUGGCUAAUUUUGGUAACCAAAAUUGUGAGUGGCUAAAGAAUGGAAACUCUAUCUUCUAAAAUCUUAGUAUGAAUUGCCUAGUUUACUCUUCGACUGUCAUGUUGCGGUUCGUUUUGUGUGAUGACAAUCCUCUUUAGGCUUUUAGAUCUGCAGCUUUGUAACUCAAUUCUCAAAUUUCCAGAAAAAUGAGUUCUUGUGGUCCUCUUUGGGAUAUGAAAAUCUAUCACUGAAACAGUUCUGAACCGUAUUGAUAACUAUGAGAUAAACUCUACUUCUCCUUCCCUCCACACGCUAUCUGGUCUGAUGUUGUUUGACUUGACAUGUAGAUUAAGAACCUGGGGUUUGUCUAGAUUAAGAAUCUUCCCUUGCUUGCCUAGGAAAUUUUGAGAAAAUCUGCAAACUCAAAUCUGCCAAUAGCGUCAAAAAUCAAUGUCUGUCAUAUUUCUGCAGUAUACUUCCCUUCUGUAAAUGUAUUUUAGCCAAGUACUAUAGAGUUGUGAGACAUUAAUUAUAUCCUUAAUAUUUAUAAUAAUGUUUCACAGAAUUUUCCUGAUGUUAGUUAGGAUCUUAAUCACUUUUUUAAAAGUUUGCUUCCGAACAAAUUUGGCUUAUCCCAACUAUUACACUAUGUGUAAUUGCUUUCCUUCCAGUUAACUCCUAACGAUAAUCUCUCAAGAGUCGUGAAAGUCAUGUUCAUGAACCAUUAACAGAACGUUUUUUUGUUACUGUCCAGUAUACUAUGAAAAGGGAUCAAAUAAAAAUAUUAUGAACCCAAAGUGGUUGAAUUCCUAGCAUGAGCCCAAAAAGGUCUAAAUUAUGUACAUGAGCCUAAAACAGCUAAACUAUGAAUAUGAGCCUAAAACGGAUAAACUAUGAACAUGAGCGUAAUGAGGGUAACACUUUGAACAUAAAUAAGUAAGACAACGCCAUAGGCAUAAGGGAGUUAGUUAGCUGACCGUGAAGGCAUAGGUUUAAACAACAAAUGCCCGAAACUAUAUUUGCUAACAUAGGAUAGAGAUUAUUCCGCAAGUCGGAUGACUCUUUUUUUUCAUGUGUCCCGAAAAGGGUCUAACCAUGGGUAAUUGAUAGUAAAUCAUUUCAUGUCACGUCCUAUGCCCGGCAAGGUAUAGGACGGCUUAGCUAGUCGGGUCGAGAUCAGACUCCAUGCGCUCACAUGGUGGUUUAUGACGGUUCACUACUUUCUCCCACAAAUAAUCAAAGGAAUUUAAAUCUACUUUAUAUUCUCAAUUAUAAAUUUAGUUUACAUUCUUGUUCCUUUCUAGAUGCCUUCACUUAUAUUUGAUUCUUAUUGUUACUUCUAAUCUUUUGUUGUACUACCCUUCUGCAAUGGUUUAACAUACCAAUACAUUCCACGUAUUGGCCGUCUUUCGUGCUACAUCGUUUCAUGGUGUAGGUUCUGGCUCUCAAGUCCACGAUCAGGCACCUCAUUAGGAUUCCUAACUUCUGUUAUUGGUGAGCCUCUUUCCUAUCAGGAGGCUUGAUGAGAUAUGAUGAUUUUUUGUAUUUUCUUUCCUUUCAGUAUUAGUACUUAUUAGAGGUUUCACAGGUUGGUGUAGUUGUCAAGCAAACAUUGUAAUUUUUAGUUUUCAUUUAUAAUAACUAUUGGUAUUGUUGAACAUUAAGGGGUAUUAAUAAACUUGGGUGAUGUUUUAUCUCCUUAGAAAAUAGUAAUUGAAUUCUAUAUUACUUCUGGUUUAUACAUUUGUAUUAGAAGUAUGCUCGGGUGAUAUGCCAGAAAGUUCGCUCGUACUAGCUAUAGUAUCGUGUGCGUGUCACACUCAGGGCCUCAUCUCGGGUCAUGACAAACUUGAUAUCAAAGCACAGAGUUCAAGUGUCCUAGGGUGUCUGUGAAGCCGUGUCUAGUAGAGUCCUUUUUAUGGGUGUGAGGCAUGCCACACAUAUAAUAGGGAGGCUACGAGACAUUUAGGAUACAUUUUCCCUUGUUUCAUAAUGUAGAUCAUAUAAAGAGAUGUUCAUAAGAAUCUUACUCAGAUUCAUGUGUUGCUCAAAUUUCUCCGUCUAUGCCUCGUCCUCGAAGUGAUUCAUAUCUUUAUGAUGCUCUUAGCAAUAUUCGUCAAAAAUCUUCAGGACUGCACAUGGCUAGAUGGGGGCCCACUAGUGUGUUUAAGUUCUUCAUUUUGAAAGAAUGUACUUUUCUACAUAUGAAUCGUGCAUUUGAUGCUACGGUAAUAUGUCCUCUCAAACCCUCUCAUACCUUGUUACCAAUGACACUUUUAAAUGAGAAAGUAUGUAUCCCAAUUCUUUGGGAGUGUUGUCAUCCAAGAUAUAAUCUGAUUUAGGGUGUGGUGGGUCAUAAAUAGUAGAAUGACUGCAGGGCUAGAACUAUGAAGUAGUAAGUUGAAAGACAAAAGUGGGAAUAGUGAAUGAUUGGAGUAUGUUGCUAAGGUCAUGUAUCCAGUAAUCGCGUAAUGUGGUGGAAUGAUGUGUCCUUUGAUGAUUUGAGAAAGGUGUAACAAGACUUGUGUGGAUGUUAUGGUAUUAAAUUGAGCAAUAAUGGUUGAUUGAGAUGAUUUAGAGUAUAUUUGAACUAGGAAAGUAGUUUAUGAUGACAUGGCAUUAUGUUAAAGGCGAUCAAGAAUAGGUUGUGAAUGGGAGCAUAGAGUAGUUAAGAGUUGACAGACCUAGGUUGCACAUUGUGAUUUUGAAAAAGGAAAUCUCUAUUUUACGGAGUUAUGAUUGUAAUUUAGGCAGGUAAUGGAUAAGUGGUAGUGGAAUUAAAGGAUAAUUCACUUGUAAUCCGCAAUUAGGCCGAUGAAGAAAUUAAGAUCGAUUGUUUUUUUUCACGUACUUUCAGUGCACUAGUAUUCGUUUUGAUUUUUUGCAGCUAUGAAUCUGUGUAGUAUGUGAGAAGUUGUGUUGUUGUCCAUGACUAGUAAUAGACACUAUGUUGGAGUUGUGAAUGAUCGUCAUGCUGGAACAAAUGGUAGUUCAGGGGCGAUAAUGCUAGUUUUAUGGAAUUGAUCUAGUAGGCUUUACCUAGUGUAUGCGAGCGUUAUGAUGAUUAGUUUGCAAAAAGUUCUUAUGAUGAUUAGUUUGACAAAAGCGUGAAGUUUCAAUUAUGAUAUAUUUGCGACCCAUAGGUGAGACAGUAAAUUGUGGCUAAGCCAAAAAAAAAAAAAAAGUCCUUAAGGUUUAUAAAGAAAAUAGUGUACCCAAGGUAGUAUGUUGUUACAUGAGAUACUAAGGAUAGGUAUGUAUUAUAUGGUGCCCCUGAGAGCUGAAUUGAAGGGAAUUAUAGAUAGACGAUGUUGAAGUCCCUUAGUGUAGUUUUAAUCCCAAUGAGUUCGAUGAACAUGAAUUUAGAGAUGUGAUUUUAGUAGACUAAUAAGAGUGAGCCAAAUUGGUAAGUGUUGAAGCUAUCAUAUACAUCAAUAGGAGCAUAACUUAUAGAAUGAUGACCGUAGAGUAAAGAGAAAGUUAAGGGAAGUAGCUCAAAACAAAAAGUUCUAGCAUCGGUUUUGUAUCUACAAAUAUAAUCUAACAGGGAAUGUUUAAGCAUUCUUGUGAAUAGUAAUACCCCAACUGUGCAGAGUGUUGUGCUUAUAUCUCAGUUUAAAGAAUAGGUCUGUACCUAGAAUAUAGACCUUUGGGCUAAGGGGGAGAUGAUGUGGUGUUGAAAUAACCCGGGUCUUGAACUUCAGGGAGUGAUAAGUCCCAAAAACAGAUAAGGUGAGGCAUCUAUCCAUUCCUAUAUCAACAUGUUCCUUGUACUUCAGUCAAAAUGACACUCUGCUCCUCUUUUGCAUACUAGCAGCAUACCUCUGACCUAGGUUUAUUCUCUUCAUACUGAUUCACAUCCAUGCUCAGUUCCUAGAAUGAAAGUAAUAGAUUCGCUCAACGAUCCCAGACUUACUCCAUGAAUCCAUGGAUUCCAGUAUGCCCAGACCUAUGAACUCACACUUCUUGAUUUAUUUCGAACUAUUGUUAUGUCUUUAUCUAUCUCUUGAAGGACUAUCCAGUCAUGAUUUAAGUAAUUAGUAUAUGAAGUAUCCGUGCCUAAUACUUACUACGAGGUUAGUCUUGAACAGAACAGGGGAAACAACAUGUUGGUGGACGCAAACUCUAGUAAUCUGUUAAUAUAGAGAUUAUAAGUUGACAAUGAUGGUGUGUGGUAUUCAGAGGAGAAAACAUAGGGAGAAGUGUAUCUAAGCUUAAGGGUUAUCACUCAUAUCGUCUAAGGUGGAAAUUCUCCUCGUACUAUGUCUACAAACCCUUGAUUCUUGUUAUUUAACUUUAGACUGUGUGGAACCUACAUUGAAGCCCAUGUUCCAAUAUAGUUCUUACUGUAUAUGCAUCUUUCGAUUCUACAGACUCGUUCUUCACAUCCUUAGUGUGAUAAUUUUUGUAUUUAUAACUCAUGCUUCUGAAUUCCCUUGUAGUUGGUUGUCAAACCCUUGUCAUUAUUGCUGCUCUGCCAUAUUGAUGAGUACAGUGCAGCAGACGAUGGUCAAUAGUUUCAACUCAUGCACUUUCUUCUAGCCAAGACCAUUCUAGGACGAAUGAAUCCAAGGCGGAGAUAAUGUAACACCCUGAACGUUCGAGCUAAAAAUAAAACAGAUUGGACUGUUCUUCAAAUGUACUUAGACCUGAAUCUAUAUAUUUUAUUGUAUUUAAGUGUAAAGGUCAUGUCUAAAGUGUCGUAGGGGUAUUGGGUAUGAAUUAAGGGCAUAAGAAAGCUCUAAAACAAGUUUGAGUUGAAAGGUUCUUUAAUGAUUAAGUUUUUGUAUAGGUUCAUACAAGGGGCAAAUUCAAGCAAGGAUUUAUCCUAGAAUAUUUAGAGUUACGUCACCCAUUAGCUAUCAAAUUAAAGUUUUUUGAGUCUUCUUUCCAACGCUACCAACAACUCAAUAAUCUGAGACCCAAGUAAAAAGUUACAUAUGUUUUACUAAGAACAAUCAGAACAGCCCUAUACCAAACAAAAAUUUUCUUUCUUUCUUUUCAUAUUCUUGGAGGGGUAAUUUCGUCCUUUCCUUUUUACAUUAACACCAAAUUAUUAAAACCUACUUCUCCAUUAAUUUUAUACGUUAAGACUCCUAGACUUACUAUGCACCAGUUACACGUUACAAUUGAGACCUCCCUGCUUUCUUCAAGUUUUGACAGGAUAAAACCUCACUUUUCCCUAUCAUUUUUUCAUACGAUAUCCAUAAAUAAACAUCCUUAUUCCUCCUUAAAAUCUUAAAUCUCAAUAAUCUGAUGAAAUUCAUUCAAGAAAACAAAUCUAAUCCCUUCUCCAGUUCUUAUUCUCCAAAUCUGUUUUGAAAUCUCCUUUCCAAACAGAUGGUGUAUAGAUGUUUGAAUUCAGAAGUUAGAUUAAAAACAAAUCAACCUGUUAAGUUCUAUUUCUAUUUCCUCUUGGCGUCUUAACAAGUGCUUAUGUAUUCAUAACGUAUGGACUAGUUUUGGCUAAAUCUGGAGCUUGAAUCUUAUCCAGUCAAUAACUUGGUGGUCUCAAUAAUCUUCAAUAAGUAUUUUCUAUUUCUAAAUUUCUUAAAAGAUGUUUGGAUUAAUUAACAUAAAGAACGUUCCCUUUUAUUUCUUAAAUUGAUGUCCGAUCCAGUUCCAAUUUAUGUUGGCAUAUGCUAAAAUUCUUCAAAUUUAACAAGUAGGAAAGACUGCCAUUUCUUUGGAAUUCUUGAACUUCUGAAAUAAACAAUUUAUUACCACAAACUUCAUAUCCUUGGCUAAUUUUGGUAACCAAAAUUGUGAGCGGCUAAAGAAUGGAAACUCUAUGUUCUGAAAUCCUAGUAUGAAUUGUCUAGUUUACUCUUCGACUGUCAUGUUGCGGUUGGUUUCUUGUGAUGACAAUCCUCUUUAUGCUUUUAAAUCUGCAGCUUUGUCACUCAAUUCUCAAAUAUCCAGAAAGUGAAUUCUUGUGGUCCUCUUUAGGAUAUGAAAAUCUAUCACUGAAACUGUUCUGAACCGUAUUGAUAACUAUGAGAUAAGCUCUGCUUCUCCUUCCCUCCACAUGCUAUCUGGUCUGAUGUUGUUUGACUUGACAUGUAGAUUAAGAACCUGGGGUUUGUCUAGAUUAAGAAUCUUCCCUUGCUUGCCUAGGAAAUUUUGAGAAAAUCUGCAAACUCAAAUGUGCCAGUAGCUUCAAAAAUCAAUGUCGGCUAGAUUUCUGCAGUAUACUUCCCUUCUGUAAAUGUAUUUUAGCCAAGUACUAUAUAGAGUUGUGAGACAUUCAUUAUAUCCUUAAUAAUUAUAAUAGUGUUUCACAGAAUUUUCCAGAUGUUAGUUAGGAUCUUAAUCGCUUUUUUAAAAGUUUGCUCCCAAACAGAUUUCUCUUAUCCCAACUGUUACACUAUGUGUAAUUGCUUUCCUUCUAGUUAACUCCUAACGAUAAUCUCUCAAGAGUCGUGAAAGUCAUGUUCAUGAACCAUUAACAGAAUGUUUUUUGUUACUGUCCAGUGUACUAUUAAAAGGUAUCAAAUAAAAAUCAUAUGAACCCAAAGUGGUUGAAUUCCCAGCAUGAGCCCCAAAAGGUCUAAAUUAUGUUCAUGAGCCUAAAACGGCUAAACUAUGAAUAUGAGCCUAAAACGGCUAAAAUAUGAACAUGAGCCUAACGAGGGUAACACUUUGAACAUAAAUAUGUAAGACAAUGCCAUGGGCAUAAGGGAAUUAGUUAGCUGACCGUGAAGGCAUAGGUUUAAACAACAAAUGCCCGAAACUAUGUUUGCCGACAUAGGAUAGAGAUUAUUCCACAAGUCGGAUGACUCUUUUUUUUCAUGUGUCCCAAAACGGGUCUAACCAUGGAUACUUGCUAGCAAAUCAUGUCCUGUCACAUCCUAUGCCCGGCAAGGUAUAGGACAACUUAGCUGGUUGGGUUGAGAUCAGACUCCAUGCGCUCACUUGGUGGUUUAUGACGGUUCACUACUUUCUCCCACAAAUAAUUAAAGGAAUUUAAAUCUACUUUAUAUUGUCAAUUAUAAAUUUAGUUUACAUUCUUGUUCCUUUCCAGAUGCCUCCACUUAUAUUUGAUUCUUAUUGUUACUUCUAGUCUUUUGUUGUACUACCCUUCUGCAAUGGUUUUACAUACGAAUACAUUCCACGUGUUGAUCGUCUUUGGCGCUACAUCAUUUCAUGAUGUAGGUUCUGGCUCUCAAGUCCGUGGUCAGGCACCUCAUUAGGAUUCCUAACUUCUGUUAUUGAUAAGCCUCUUCCUACCAGGAGGCUUGACGAGAUAUGAUGAUUUUUUUGUUUUUUCUUUCCUUUCAGUAUUAGUACUUAUUUGAGGCUUCACAGGAUGGUGUAGUUGUCAACCAAACUUUGUAAUUUUCAGUCUUCAUUUAUAAUAACUAUUGGUAUUUUUGAACAUUAUGCGGUAUUAAUAAACUUGGGUGAAGUUUUAUCUCCUUAGAAAAUCGUAAUUCAAUUCUAUAUUACUUCCACUUUAUACAUUUGUAUUAGAAGUAUGCUUGGGUGAUAUGCCAGAACGUUCGCUCGUACUAGCUAUAGUAUCGUGUGCAUUUCACGUCCAGGGCCUCAGCUCUGAAGGGACGGAUGGACCAGGUCAUUGUGAAGGUGUGGAUUGAUCAGGUCCCUGUGAAAGGGUAGAUUCUGAACUCCUUGGUGUGCUAUUUAUCUUUCUUGGAGCAUUUUUUACCUCUUAGCAUACCUUAUCCAAAAUAACUAGAAAAUCCCUAACAAUCACAAACAAUCGGAAACCUUCAUCCCUCUUAGCAUUUCUGUGGAAAUAAUCACCCGCACUCUUAACAAGAUCCAUUAUUCGCUUUUCUUCCUUAAGCAAUGACAUGACAUCAGGCUCGGCAUUCUGCUCAAACUUCUUAAUGGUCUGGUAAAACCCAUCUUUGUCAUCUAUGCUCUUCAUUUUUGAAUUUAGGAAGUAGCAUGCUUUUAUAAGUGUAACACCCCGUAAAAUCCUUCAUGUGUUAUAUCGUGGUAGUAUGCUUGUUGAGUUAAAAGCUUGAAAAUUUUCUAAGUGUAAAAGGAGACUUAGAAUCAUUGUUAGCUUUCAAUCUUCGGGUAUUUUAUUUUUGACCUUCCAGACCUCUGUUUUCCAAUUUUUAAGUUCCAUUUUUUAGGUUGUGGAGCCUCAUUAAUAUAAAUAGCUUGUCCGCCGGAGGUUACCCACGCGUGUUACCAUGAAGUUACUUCUCUCUCUCUCUCCUCAAGAACUCUCUCUUGUUUUCUUCAUCCUUUCCAUAGAUUUAGUGUGUGUGAACUGCGAAUCGAUCCUAACAACUGGUAUCAAAGCUUGGGAGAUUCAUCAUGAUCACUGAAGAUAGAAGGAUCAAAGUUUGGAAUUGAGUAGUUUGAUGGAGCUGAUUUUGGUUUCUGGAAGAUGCAGAUCUGAUACAAGAAUAAUGGCUGCCUUAGCUUUCGACGACAUCAUUCAAAGUCACUAUGUGAAGAAUCAAAAUUUGAUCACAUAGAGGGCACGAGAUCAUGCUUGAAGGGGACAUUUUGAGCCUACCAUUGAUCAAACCCAAGUGUGGAAGAUUGCUUGAAGCCUUGAAGACUUAAGGACUCUCGGCUUUGGACCACCUUUAUUGGUUCACGGUUUUGGUGCCCUUUAUUAAGGGCAUUUUGGUCAAUUAGCCUUAAGGGAAUUUUGGACAAUUCAUAUUGUUUUCCAACACUCCAAGGCCACCCUUGGUCAUUAAGGGCAGUGUAGUCUUUUUUGCCUUCUUUUGUAAUAUACUAUAAGUAAGAUUUUUUUAGGUCUUCUCUCAUUAGUUUAUGAAAGAUGAAAGAUUGAAACAUUAAAAAUCCUCUCUCUUGAGAGUAGAACACUUAGUCUUAGUUAGGGCUUGGAAAAGCUAGUAUUGAUCUUUGCUUGGAAAUGGUGGAUCUUGAGGUGAGUUGAUUCCCUUGGCGAUCACCAUAAGAGUGUGGUUUUGAUUAUUACAUUCAUUAGGAGUAUUUUGAGUUUAAUACACUCUUUAGUUCUUAAUCUUGUAAUAAUCUUAGUCUCACUAUCUAUCCUUUACUUUUGUUGUUGUCAUCUUGUGUAGUGGUUUAUUUAGGGUCCUUUAUUAAAUCUGAAACUUGUAUUAUUGUUAUUCAUCUUAUUCCUCACGUUUUGUAGCUGUUUUUGGUGUUAUAUACACCAUUGUAUCUUGUAUUCUUCUUGUUGAUAGCGAAUCCAAGAGUGGUCUUCAUCUUGGUCCCGGAUCCUUAUGAUUGGGGACUGAUUCGGAGUAUGUUUUGUGUCUUUCAUUGUCUUUCUCGUAUAAAGAUCGAACACUAACUUUACCAUAAAGAUCUUCACGAACACUUGACCGGGAUUAAGCCAGAGUCCAUGAAGGAGUAGAACUGAAAGCUCAAGGAUCGAUAGGCUCUAGGGCUGAUUCGGUUGACCUUGUCGAGAAACGUGAUAUUCAACAUCAUCAAGGAUAAAACCAUAUAUGAUAUAUUUAAGGAAAUAUCAAAUAUGUACGAAAAGCCAUCUACGAUGAACAAGGUAUAUUUGAUGCGUAGAUUCUUCAAUUUACAGAUGUCUGAGAAUGGAUCUGUUGCUGAUUAUAUAAAUGAGUUCAAUAUAAUUGUUUGUCAACUGUGUUCUAUGGAUAUUAAUUUUGAAGAUGAAAUUAAAGCACUUAUUUUGAUGUCAUCUCUGCUCGAGUCUUGGGAUACUGUUGUUGCUGCGAUUAGCAUUUCUCGUGGGUCUAAGAAACUAAAGUUUGAUGAAAUUCGAGAUGUUGUUCUUAGCGAAAGCAUUCGCAAAUGAGAAAUUGGGGAAUCAUCUGGUAGUGCUCUCAAUGUUGACCGAAGGGGGAGAGACCAAUCGAGGGGUCAAAAUACACAUGACAGAUCAACAUUAAAGAAUCGUGGAAAAUGUCCACAAAAAUCCAAUGUGACAUGUUAGAAUUGUGGAGAAAAAGGACACUUUCGGAUAGAGUGCAAGAAAGCCAAGAAGAAGAAUAAAAAAUUUGGAGAUGGUAAUAAUUCUGUUAAUUCAAUAGAAGACAUUGGGGAUGCUCUAAUCCUUAGUGUAGACAACUCGGUUGAAUCUUGGAUAUUGGAUUUUGGUGCAUCUUUUCAUUCAUCUCCUAGCUAGGAAUUGUUCCAAAACUUCAAGUCUGGAAAUUUUAGAAAUGUGUAUCUUGCUAACAACAAGCCAUUGGCGGUUGAAGGAAAGGGGGAUGUCUGCAUAAAAACUCCAACACAAACCAGUGGACAUUGGAGGAUGUCAGAUAUAUUCCGGUCUCAAGAAGAAUCUGAUCUCUGUUGGUUAGUUGGAUAGCAUAGGCUACACAGCAGAGUUUGGGAAAGGUUCAUGGAAGAUUGUGAAGGGUGCUAUGGUUGUAGCACGUGGCAUAAAAUCUGGAACUUUGUACACCACUGCAGGGUGUAUAAACAUGGAUGUUGUUACUGAGGGUGGUUCCGGUUCAAGUCUGUGGCACAAUAGACUUGGAAAAAUGAGUGCCAAAAGAAUGAAGAAGUUGGCUACAAAAGGAUCUUUAGAGGGGCUGAAAUCUGUUGAUAUUGGUCUUUUGAGAGUUAUAUUAUGGGUAAACAGAAGCGAGUAUGAUUCAUGAACACUGUGAGAGAGCCAAAGCAAGUACGGCAGGAAAUGGUCCAUACUGACGUUUGGGGACCAUCUCCUAUUUCAUCACUUGGUGGAUCCAGAUUCUAUGUCACCUUACAUUGAUGAUUUCAGUAGGAAGCUAUGGGUUUACUUCUUGAAAGAUAAUUUAGAUUUGUUUGCUACUUUCAAGAGAUGGAAAGAUGAAGUUGAAAAUCAGACUGGCUUGAAAAUCAAAGGCAAGGUUCAAGAAACUACAAUGCAAGUGGGAGUUGAGCUUGAGUUGCCGAAGAGUCACCUAAAGAUGUUGCAGCAGAUACUCAACAAACUCCAGAGACUGUCGUUGAGGAACCAGAGGUGGAACAAGUGACAUCUGAGCAGGCUGAGAGGAGAUCAUCCUGGACCAUUAGAGCACUAGAUUGGUAUUCACCAUCAUUACAUUAUCUGUUGCUAACUGAUGAAAGGGAACCAGAGUCUGUUGCUGAGGCCCUGCAGGUAGAGGAUUCAAUAAAGUGGGAGCAAGCCAUGUAUGAUGAGAUGAGCUCACUUAAGAAGAAUAACACGUGGAUAUUGAUUGAGUUACCUGCAAAGGAGAGAGCCUUGUUGAACAAGUGGGUGUUCAGAAUCAAGGCAGAACCAGAUGGCAAAAGAAGGUUCAAGGCUCGGUUGGUAGUUAAAGGAUAUUCACAAAGGAAAUGUAUUGAUUAUGCUGAAAUAUUUUCUCCUAUUGUGAAGUUAACUACUAUCCGAAUUUUAUUGAGCAUUGUUGCAUCGGAGAAUUUGAAUCUUGAGCAGAUGGAUGUAAAGACUGCGUUUUUACAUGGAGAUUUGGACAAGGAAAUCUAUACGCAGUAGCCAGAGGGGUUUGUAUUUCCAAGCAAGGAACACAUGGUGUGCAAGCUCAACAGGAUCUUGUAUGGGCUGAAGCAAGCACCUAGACAGUGGUACAAGAAGUUUUACUCCUUUAUGAGCAAGAUAGGCUUCCAGAGGAGUGAAAAAGAUCAGUGUUGCUACUUUAAGAAAUACACUGAUUCUUUUGUAUUUGUACUCUUGUAUGUGGAUGAUAUGUUUAUUACAAGAUCCAGUAUGAAGGAGAUAAAAUAUCUGAAGACAAGCCUGUCUUUUGAGUUUGAGAUGAAAGAUUUAGGUGCAGCAGAGCAGAUUCUUGGGAUGAGGAUUUCUCGGGAUAGAUCUGUUGGUACUUUGCAUCUAUCCCAAGAGCAGUAUGUCGAGAAGGUGAUGGACAAAUUUAGAGUUAAUGAUGCUAAACCCAGGACUACUCUGUUGGCAAAUCACAUAAAAUUAUCAAAGGAGCAGUCACAGAAGACAGCUCAGGAGCGGGAACAUAUGGCACUUGUUCUGUAUGCUUCUGCAGUUCGGAGUCUGAUGUAUGCUAUGGUCUGCACUAGACCUGACAUAGCAAAUGCAGUGGGAGUUGUUAGCAGGUACAUGGCAAACUCCAGAAAAAAGCAUUGGUAAGGUGUGAAGUGGCUUCUAAGAUAUCUGAAAGCGACAUCCAGUACUUCACUUUGUUUUGGCAAUGGUGAAGUGAUUAUGCAAGGUUUUUUUUAUACUGAUCUUGGUGGAGAUGUGUACUUAAGCAUGACCACUUCCAGAUACAUUUACACCAUAGGUGUUACAACAGAGAGUUGGAUGUCCAGGCUUCAGAAGUACGUCGCUCUUUUAUCUACUGAGGCUGUGUAUGUGGCAAUAGUUGAAGUUGGAAAGGAGAUGAUAUGGCUGACAAAUUAUCUGGAAGUAGUGGGCAAGAACAAACUUAAGAAUAUUCUUUACAUAGAUAGCUAGAGUUCCAUGCACUUGGUGAAGAACCCGGUCUAUCAUUUGAAGAUGAAGCACAUUAGAAGACGGUAUCAUUUCACUCCUAGGGCAGUGAAAAAAGGUGAUAUGUGUUUGGAAAAGAUAGAGGGUGCAAAGAAUCCAGUAAACAUGUUGACUAAAUAUGUUGAUGUUGGUAAACUAAGGUUGUGCAAAACCUUAGUUGGCUUUCUAUAGUUGGGUCUAAAGAUGUUGCGGUGUAGCGAACAUGUUGAUGGUGGAGGAAUAUUUUUUAUUUUUUUUAGAAUGUAAUUCUUGGAUGAAUGAAUCAGUCUCUAAGUGGGAGAAUUGCUAGGUUGUGGAGCCUGAUUAAUGUGUGACGUACUGUUAUAGAAUUAAUAGAUCCAACAAACAAUAGAAUUAAAUCAAUUAUAAAACAUAAAUCCAACUAAUAACAUAAAUUAGAUCAAUUAAGAAUAUAAGGAAAAUUGUUGGCAUAGCAAUUCAUAUUGUGUUUAAUUCAUUAAUAAGCAAGCAAAUGAAUUGAAUCAUUUUCAAAUACUGAAGAAAAAGGAAAGUGUCCCAUGUCCGAAUCAUAUGAAUUGAAGCUUGUUAAUGUGCCAACAUUUUCCAAUAUCGAACAAGGAUGAACAUUAGAAAAUGAAUUGAAAAUCCAAGAUGACUAUGACUAUAAUCAAGAUUUAGCAAUCUUGAAGUCUAUCUAUCAUUACCACUCUAAUCAUGGGGUAGUUCCAUAUCCUCCUUAUUCAGAGAAAUUUAAUGAUUUCAUCAAAACUUCAAUUCCCAACUUGAAAUGUCUUGGCAAAGCAUUGGGAACUAAGAUCAUUACAUUAGAGAAACAUUUCUUAACUGUUAUGAAUAUGGCAACACGUACGGGAUAUUACCCUGAGAUAAUCCACCCUGUUUCUCAGAAAAUCUUCUUGUGUAUGGCUUUAUGGGAUUAAUUUUGGAAAUUAUUAUUAGUUGAUGAACAGGAAGAUGAAAUUGGAAAUUGGAGUUGCUGAUCCAUUCUUCGAUUUCACGGUCGAAAUCUUCAUAGCAACAUUUUAAAUAAUUUCUUGGAGCACUAGUUUAAAUUUUCCAAUAUUAUUUCACUAAGCUGAAUCUAGUUGCUACACUUACAUGGAUUAUUAGUUUGGAAAUUAGUUUGUUCUUGAACUUAGUUGAAGUUUAUGCGAAGUAACAUACAAAUUGUGUACCCGAAACAGCAAAAAGAACCAUUUAGCAUUUAUAACAUAUGUAAUUGCUCAUUCAACUUGAUUCCAUCCUUAAUUAAUUCACCAUAAUCUAAUCAUAAUUGCUCAUUGAAUUUGAUUCCAUCCUUAAUUAAUUCACCAUAAUCUAAUCAUAAAUUUACAUAAAUGAGUGAGAUGAGAGAUUUGGUAUAACACUUCACUUAAUCUAGCGAUAUGAUCAAGUUAUAAAUUCUAGCAAAAGAAACUUCAUGUUCAGUUCAUUCCUUUCUUUCUUUGUUUCUUUCUUUCUUUCUUUCUUUCUCUUUUACUCUCUUUAUCGGCUCCAACAUUUACAAAGAUCCAAAUGCUACCUGCAGAAAAACUAAAUGGAGAGAAUAAUGGAGUAAAGCAAGAAAAUUCUGUUACGAUACAAUGGACACAAGGCCCAGGCCCAAUUGUUGAUACGUGGACCCGACCCAAUUUAGUUGCUGAUGUAUAUAUUUUUACAUUUCUUUCCUUUUAUAAGGUCAUGUAUAUAUAUAGAGAGAACUCUCUAGAACAGAGAAGAAUAGAUAUUUUUCAUUUGUGUACCUUUAAAGAUCUGUACCUUUUCUCAUUUC